rnacentral:rRNA from 1 species
UACGUAGGGGGCUAGCGUUGUCCGGAAUCAUUGGGCGUAAAGCGCGUGUAGGCGGCCCGGUAAGUCCGCUGUGAAAGUCGGGGGCUCAACCCUCGAAUGCCGGUGGAUACUGUCGGGCUCGAGUACGGGAGAGGCGAGUGGAAUUCCUGGUGUAGCGGUGAAAUGCGCAGAUAUCAGGAGGAACACCGGUGGCGAAGGCGGGUCUCUGGGCCGAUACUGACGCUGAGGAGCGAAAGCGUGGGGAGCGAACAGG